GGUAUCGUGGCGGAAUUGGUUAACGCGCCUGUUGGUUAACGGGUAGAUUGCAGGUUCGAAUCCUGCCGAUACCA
rnacentral:tRNA from 1 species